rnacentral:rRNA from 1 species
GGGUUGUGAGGUUAAGCGACUAAGCGUACACGGUGGAUGCCCUGGCAGUCAGAGGCGAUGAAGGACGUGCUAAUCUGCGAUAAGCGUCGGUAAGGUGAUAUGAACCGUUAUAACCGGCGAUUUCCGAAUGGGGAAACCCAGUGUGUUUCGACACACUAUCAUUAACUGAAUCCAUAGGUUAAUGAGGCGAACCGGGGGAACUGAAACAUCUAAGUACCCCGAGGAAAAGAAAUCAACCGAGAUUCCCCCAGUAGCGGCGAGCGAACGGGGAGCAGCCCAGAGCCUGAAUCAGUGUGUGUGUUAGUGGAAGCGUCUGGAAAGGCGUGCGAUACAGGGUGACAGCCCCGUACACAAAAAUGCACAUAUUGUGAGCUCGAUGAGUAGGGCGGGACACGUGGUAUCCUGUCUGAAUAUGGGGGGACCAUCCUCCAAGGCUAAAUACUCCUGACUGACCGAUAGUGAACCAGUACCGUGAGGGAAAGGCGAAAAGAACCCCGGCGAGGGGAGUGAAAAAGAACCUGAAACCGUGUACGUACAAGCAGUGGGAGCACGCUUAGGCGUGUGACUGCGUACCUUUUGUAUAAUGGGUCAGCGACUUAUAUUCUGUAGCAAGGUUAACCGAAUAGGGGAGCCGAAGGGAAACCGAGUCUUAACUGGGCGUUAAGUUGCAGGGUAUAGACCCGAAACCCGGUGAUCUAGCCAUGGGCAGGUUGAAGGUUGGGUAACACUAACUGGAGGACCGAACCGACUAAUGUUGAAAAAUUAGCGGAUGACUUGUGGCUGGGGGUGAAAGGCCAAUCAAACCGGGAGAUAGCUGGUUCUCCCCGAAAGCUAUUUAGGUAGCGCCUCGUGAAUUCAUCUCCGGGGGUAGAGCACUGUUUCGGCAAGGGGGUCAUCCCGACUUACCAACCCGAUGCAAACUGCGAAUACCGGAGAAUGUUAUCACGGGAGACACACGGCGGGUGCUAACGUCCGUCGUGAAGAGGGAAACAACCCAGACCGCCAGCUAAGGUCCCAAAGUCAUGGUUAAGUGGGAAACGAUGUGGGAAGGCCCAGACAGCCAGGAUGUUGGCUUAGAAGCAGCCAUCAUUUAAAGAAAGCGUAAUAGCUCACUGGUCGAGUCGGCCUGCGCGGAAGAUGUAACGGGGCUAAACCAUGCACCGAAGCUGCGGCAGCGACGCUGAUGCGUUGUUGGGUAGGGGAGCGUUCUGUAAGCCUGCGAAGGUGUGCUGUGAGGCAUGCUGGAGGUAUCAGAAGUGCGAAUGCUGACAUAAGUAACGAUAAAGCGGGUGAAAAGCCCGCUCGCCGGAAGACCAAGGGUUCCUGUCCAACGUUAAUCGGGGCAGGGUGAGUCGACCCCUAAGGCGAGGCCGAAAGGCGUAGUCGAUGGGAAACAGGUUAAUAUUCCUGUACUUGGUGUUACUGCGAAGGGGGGACGGAGAAGGCUAUGUUGGCCGGGCGACGGUUGUCCCGGUUUAAGCGUGUAGGCUGGUUUUCCAGGCAAAUCCGGAAAAUCAAGGCUGAGGCGUGAUGACGAGGCACUACGGUGCUGAAGCAACAAAUGCCCUGCUUCCAGGAAAAGCCUCUAAGCAUCAGGUAACAUCAAAUCGUACCCCAAACCGACACAGGUGGUCAGGUAGAGAAUACCAAGGCGCUUGAGAGAACUCGGGUGAAGGAACUAGGCAAAAUGGUGCCGUAACUUCGGGAGAAGGCACGCUGAUAUGUAGGUGAAGUUGCUCGCGGAUGGAGCUGAAAUCAGUCGAAGAUACCAGCUGGCUGCAACUGUUUAUUAAAAACACAGCACUGUGCAAACACGAAAGUGGACGUAUACGGUGUGACGCCUGCCCGGUGCCGGAAGGUUAAUUGAUGGGGUUAGCGCAAGCGAAGCUCUUGAUCGAAGCCCCGGUAAACGGCGGCCGUAACUAUAACGGUCCUAAGGUAGCGAAAUUCCUUGUCGGGUAAGUUCCGACCUGCACGAAUGGCGUAAUGAUGGCCAGGCUGUCUCCACCCGAGACUCAGUGAAAUUGAACUCGCUGUGAAGAUGCAGUGUACCCGCGGCAAGACGGAAAGACCCCGUGAACCUUUACUAUAGCUUGACACUGAACAUUGAGCCUUGAUGUGUAGGAUAGGUGGGAGGCUUUGAAGUGUGGACGCCAGUCUGCAUGGAGCCGACCUUGAAAUACCACCCUUUAAUGUUUGAUGUUCUAACGU